rnacentral:rRNA from 1 species
UACGGAGGGGGCUAGCGUUGUUCGGAAUUACUGGGCGUAAAGCGCACGUAGGCGGCUUUGCAAGUCAGAGGUGAAAGCCCGGGGCUCAACCCCGGAAUAGCCUUUGAGACUGCAUCGCUUGAACAUCGGAGAGGUAAGUGGAAUUCCGAGUGUAGAGGCGAAAUUCGUAGAUAUUCGGAAGAACACCAGUGGCGAAGGCGACUUACUGGACGAUUGUUGACGCUGAGGUGCGAAAGCGUGGGGAGCAAACAGGG